rnacentral:rRNA from 1 species
GGAUUAGAUACCCUGGUAGUCCACGCCGUAAACGAUGAUAACUAGCUGUCCGGGGACUUGGUCUUUGGGUGGCGCAGCUAACGCAUUAAGUUAUCCGCCUGGGGAGUACGGUCGCAAGAUUAAAACUCAAAGGAAUUGACGGGGGCCUGCACAAGCGGUGGAGCAUGUGGUUUAAUUCGAAGCAACGCGCAGAACCUUACCAGCGUUUGACAUGUCCGGACGACUUCGAGAGAUCGAUUUCUUCCCUUCGGGGACUGGAACACAGGUGCUGCAUGGCUGUCGUCAGCUCGUGUUG